UUAAAUUGACUAAAAAUUUAAAUUUUAAUUCAAAACUUCAUGAACUGUUGUAGGCUAUUAUUUAUUAUAUUAUCAAUAUGUUUUCGCUUAAAGUAAUGUAACAUAAGCAUAGGCGUAAGCAGGGGGGGUUUUGGGGGUUAUAACCCCCCCCCCCCAUUGGGAUGUACUUUGAGCUCUAUACGCUUAACACCAUAGCCCUCAGAUACCUUCCAGUACUUGUAACCCCCCUUUCAGGAGUUGUAACCCCCCCUUAGGCUCAUCCUGGUUACGCCUAUGAACAUAAGUACAUAGUUAUGAUAGUUUAUGUAAGUAAGUACAUUUUGUCAUGAAUGUAACAUAGGUAUUCACAAAUUGUGAAUCACAAUAUUACAUGUAAAGUAGUAGUCAGUAAAAUAAUUAAUGUUUCAAAAAUACCUCCUUUAUUGUUAUUGUUUUUUGAACCCAGGCCUAAUACAUUUUAAAGUAGUAGUUGUAGUAAUUUGCCUACAACUAUUUAAAAAUUGUUACAUUACAGUCCCACUGCAUAGUGAAUGUGAAUUGUGGUUGCAAUUAAUGGGAGUCUCGUUUUGUGUGGGAAGGGGUGGGGGGCGGGAGCAUUGAAUUUCGCCAAGGGCGCAGGAAUGGCAAGAUACGUCCCUGCAAGUAGCAAGGGCUUUCUUGAGAAGCUUAUACAUGUAACUUGUAUUGUUGUAAAUUGUGGGAGUAGGGCAGACAGGGAAAAGUCUUAUUUUGUACUGUUCCCAAGGCUCCCCAUUCAAUACAUUUAAAUGAAUUAUCCAAACAAAGCCGGGGACAAUGGAUAAAAGCCACAAGAAGAACAGAUAUAAGGGAACUAAAAUUAAAAUAUGAAAAGUAAACAUUUUAUAAGUGGAACAACCACCAGAUAUUUAAAAGGUAUAAAAAGAAGAAACUGCUGGAACUUCAAAACAAAUGUGUUUGACUAGUAAAGAUUUGGAUAAAUAACAGGAGUUACUUUGGGCUAUAGCUACGUGCAGAUUUAUUUCCUUGUGGCUUCCUAUGUUAAUUCUUAUUAAUUAUACACUUAAAUAUGUUUUUAGUCUCAGGAAGAUUUUUUAUUUGAUUAUUUUUGAAUAAACAUUAUUAUUAUUAUUAUCUUAAUUUCCAUUAAAUAAAUUAACUGUAAUCAAUAAAGUAAUCGUUUAAAUGUUAAUAAAUUAUCAAGUAUGA